rnacentral:lncRNA from 1 species
GGGAGAUACUAAGGAUGCAUUUCAUUUUUCAUACUGUUGACUUUGUAUUCUGUACAUGAGGAAGGAAGAGAAAAAGGAGGAACAAAUAAAGGAAGAAAAGAAAGAUGGAAAAAAGGAAAGAAGGAAGCAAAGAAGGAAAGAAGUAAAAGUAAUGAAAUCUGUAUUCAGGAUGUAACGCUUCUUCUGAAGUGCUUGGAGAAUCAGAGAAAAUGGCCCAUUUUCAUUUUAAUGAAUCAUGCUGGAGAAUA